CACGUAGGGGGCAAGCGUUGUCCGGAUUUAUUGGGCGUAAAGAGCUCGUAGGUGGUUCGGUAAGUCGGGUGUUAAACCCCCAGGCUCAACCUGGGGACGCCACUCGAUACUGCUGUGACUAGAGUCCGGUAGGGGAGCGUGGAAUUCCUGGUGUAGCGGUGAAAUGCGCAGAUAUCAGGAGGAACACCGGUGGCGAAGGCGGGUCUCUGGGCCGAUAUCGACGCUGAGGAGCGAAAGCGUGGGGAGCGAACAGG
rnacentral:rRNA from 1 species